AUUGAACGCUGGCGGCAGGCCUAACACAUGCAAGUCGAGCGGUAGAGAGAAGCUUGCUUCUCUUGAGAGCGGCGGACGGGUGAGUAAUGGCCUAGGAAUCUGCCUGGUAGUGGGGAUAACGUUCGGAAACGACGCUAAUACCGCAUACGUCCUACGGGAGAAAGCAGGGGACCCUUGGGCCUUGCGCUAUCAGAUGAGCCUAGGUCGGAUUAGCUAGUUGGUGAGGUAAUGGCUCACCAAGGCGACGAUCCGUAACUGGUCUGAGAGGA
rnacentral:rRNA from 1 species